CCAAAGGCUCUUUUAAGAGCCACUCCAUACACAAUAAAAGGAGCUG
rfam:Corvus brachyrhynchos contig83389, whole genome shotgun sequence.